rnacentral:rRNA from 1 species
CCUACGGGGGACAGCAGUGAGGAAUAUUGGUCAAUGGACGAGAGUCUGAACCAGCGAAGUAGCGUGAAGGAUGACUGCCCUAUGGGUUGUAAACUUCUUUUAUAAAGGAAUAAAACGAGGCACGUGUUCCUUUGUGCAUGUACUUUAUGAAUAAGGAUCGGCUAACGCCGUGCCAGCAGCCGUGGUAAUACGGAGGAUCCGAGCGUUAUCCGGAUUUAUUGGGUUUAAAGGGAGCGUAGAUGGGUUGUUAAGUCAGUUGUGAAAGUUUGCGGCUCAACCGUAAAAUUGCAAUUGAUACUGGCAGUCUUGAGUACAGUUGAGGUAGGCGGAAUUCGUGGUGUAGCGGUGAAAUGCUUAGAUAUCACGAAGAACCCCGAUUGCGAAGGCAGCUUACUAAACUGUGACUGACAUUGAUGCUCGAAAGUGUGGGGAUCAAACAGGAUUAGAUACCCGGGUAGUC